rnacentral:tRNA from 1 species
GAAGGUACAGCUCAAGUGGUAGAGCUUAUGCUUAAAAUGCAUGAAGUCUUGGGUUCAAUCCCCAGUACCUCCU